rnacentral:ncRNA from 1 species
CCUGUGGAGCGUUACACCAAACGUGAGUUAGCUUUAGGCAAAAGCGGACGCGUUGAAGCAGGAA